rnacentral:snRNA from 1 species
GAAUCUGAGGGCCAUCUGGCUGCAGCUCUCUCUCCCCAUGGCUCAGCAGAGUUGAUCUGGAUGAUUUAACUGCCUAGGCAGGUGUUCCCUUUCUCCCAGACCAUUCCAGGGGCAUCCUUUCUGAAACUGCGGGUUCCAUUGAAGAGGACUUUCCCAGAAUAGAGGAGGACCAAUCUUUGGUUGAGGGCAUGCAAGUAGCAUACCUUUAAAGAGCUCUCAAGAAAGUCCUCCCUCCCCUAUGUCUAUCAAGUUUCCCUUUAAUAAUUUUAUGCUUUCAGGUCUAACAUGAAAGUUUUUCAUCCAUUUCAAGUU